rnacentral:lncRNA from 1 species
GGGGUGGGUCCCAUUUUAGGAGCGAUAAAUCACUAAAAGUAUGAUACCAUGGCAACCGUUUUUUUUUGGUUUUUUUAUGUAUAAUUUUUUUUUUGUCCGUUUUCAGCCCGAAGUAUAUGCACUUAAAUCAUUAUGAUUUAUCAAGGUAUAAGAUCCUGUAGUGAAAUGCAGGUCAACAUUGGAUUUAAUGUUAUACAAUCAAAUCAUUAGGUCAAAGGUCAUAACAUUCAUAUUUUAAUUGUCAACCUAGGAUUGUAGGGAACAUUUUCGAUAAUUUUGGAAACAGAAUACCAAACACUUAGAGUGAAAACUGAUUCACAUUUGCCAUUUAUAUCUUGCUAAAUGGUAUAGGUUUUUCUCAUUUUUGAAGGCAGUUCCAAUAGCUGUAAACUUCUUUGUGGUU